CAUGGCUUUGAUGAUCUUGGUUCAAUUUCUGUAUGUCAUUGUUCUAUUUAGAAAGAACAGCAACAGAAGUAGUAGAGAAUCUGCUUUUUACUGUAAAAAUGUGCUUCCGAUGGUUUUGAAGCUGACUUUUUGUGGGUGCAAUUGAUUUCACCCCAAAAUAUAAUAGUUUUGAGUUUUUCAUUGUAGUCUGGUGUGUUUCUUUGACUUUUUGCUUGUCUAAUGUAGUUAGUUUGAAUGAGUUUUUAAGAGUGUAUGCUAGUUUUUAUUAAUUAUCAGUUAAAUAUUGCUUAGUUUGAGCUUUUUCAUAAUUUUUAGGUGCCGAAUUCAAAACGGUCAACGUAUCAUAUCGUAACUAUGUAAACAUCAAUUGUUUACAUCGAUGCAGAAGGUUCCAGUUUCAAAAAAUGUUGAACAAAAACUGGCUUUAUUUUCUCUCAACUUUUGCUGUCGCCAUGUUGCAGACUCACGUAAGAGCCAUGAGGAGCAAAUUACGUCAGCUGUCAGCGUAAUUUGCAGACAGUUGACAUAAGCUGCUUGGGUGGUAAAAAUUAUUUAAUAAACGUGAAAAUGAAGGAUAUUUAUUUCCAUAAUUUAAGAAUGUUUUAGUCAUGGUUACAAACGCACACUACAGUUCCAGAUAGUUAUAGUUUUUCUCCAUUAAUUACCGUUUUUAUUUAUUUCAGUUAACAAAAAUGUGUUUUCAGUUUCUGUUGUUGUCGUUAGCUUUAGUCCAGAAAAUCUUUAUGAUUUUAUGAUUAUUUGCGUCUCUAUAUGAGGUCUGCAGAGGAGCUUGCAUAAAGAUUUAUUUUUCAUAGACUGGGGGAGUGCUUCUAGUGACCAGUAAUGUUAAACUGUUAGCAAUUAAAAUGGAAUAACGCACAAUAUUUCUUUCCAGGCGAGCGUGAAAUUUGUAAAUCAAGCUUCAAGGCUGUGUGGAGCCAACCGACUCCCACACUCCUCUGCACAGAUCGCUCCUGGCAACGCCACCAGAAUAACGAACAGCCGAUAAGAAGGGCAAACCUUCCAGAGGAGAGGAAGACUGAAGCAUUCCAGAAGAUGCAUCCCUGACUGAACAGAGUCGCUCAGUCUUGUCUUUCUCCCACUGACAAGGAUUCCUCCGGUAGAGUUUCAACUGGACCAGACUUAAUGGAGGAGCGUUGUCGCAAUAACGUGCUGAAGGAGGAGAUUCACAAAGAGCAGGAGCUUCUUAAAGAGACAGAAGUCCAAUCUCAAGAGACAAACGCUCAGGCUCUCAACAAUGCACACGGCUCACAGCAGCUGAGGAAGCAUCACUCAGACACCACAAGCUGUUUGUUUCCUUCCGGUCUGGAUGCUUGCAGCCAACUAUAAAAUAUGACCAAAGCACCAUCAAGAUGAGAAGCAACAGAUAAAAAGAAGGACUUCACAAUAAUUCAUAGAUAUACAACUCAUUAGACUUGAAAGACUGCAAUAAGUGUAUGUUGAUUGUCUGUUUUAUUAGAUCUGUGUCUGUGAUAUGCAUCAGGCACUUAGGGAAAUCCAUCCCCCCCCCCUUGCUUCUGUGAUGGUUACAUUGAGUUUAAUGAUGGCAACAAGGUGCAAACUUUGAUUUUAUCCUAUAAUAUACGUCUCCUGUUGCGUAACAUAGUUUUACAGCAACCCUACAGGGAUUACAGUUGAUCCACACUGAUUCCAUCAGACUUAAAGGGGCAGUAUUGUGUAUUUUUCAGGCACAUAGUGUAAUUUUAUAGC